AUUGAACGCUGGCGGCAUGCUUUACACAUGCAAGUCGAACGGCAGCACGGGUGCUUGCACCUGGUGGCGAGUGGCGGACGGGUGAGUAAUGCAUCGGAACGUGUCCUAAAGUGGGGGAUAACGCAUCGAAAGAUGUGCUAAUACCGCAUAUUCUCUGAGGAGGAAAGUAGGGGAUCGAAAGACCUUAUGCUUUUGGAGCGGCCGAUGUCUGAUUAGCUAGUUGGUAGGGUAAUGGCUUACCAAGGCGACGAUCAGUAGUUGGUCUGAGAGGACGACCAGCCACACUGGGACUGAGACACGGCCCAGACUCCUACGGGAGGCAGCAGUGGGGAAUUUUGGACAAUGGGCGCAAGCCUGAUCCAGCAAUGCCGCGUGAGUGAAGAAGGCCUUCGGGUUGUAAAGGCUCUGUCGGGAGGGACGGAAGGGGAAACCCGUAGACGGUACCUCGCAAGAAAGACACCGGCGUAACUCUGUGCCAGCAGCCGC
rnacentral:rRNA from 1 species